GAGGGGCAACACCUGUUCCCAUCCCGAACACAGAAGUUAAGCCCUCCAGCGCCGAUGGUACUGCACUGGUAACGGUGUGGGAGAGUAGGUCACUGCCGGAA
rnacentral:rRNA from 1 species